CUCAAAAUGGUAACAUGUUGAUGGAUAUAUUACAUCAGCAGCAGCAGCAGCAGCAGCAACAUCAUCAACAACCACAGCAGUCUUCUCUAUCAGAGCCCGGCCUUUCAAUUAAUGUGCAGCCAUCUUGCCUUGUGGUCCCUUCUCAGUCAUCAGCCAGUUUUCAGGCAGGAAAUAGUCCUGCAUCAGUCAAUCAGAGUUGCAACUUUAACAGGAAUGCUGUCAUUGAUUACAGCCUUCUAUCAUCCCAGUCAAAUAAUUCAUCAUUGAAUAUUGGGCACGUUCCAGAUGGGAAUUUAAAAACUACAGUUGUUGUUAGUGGGUACUCAGUCCCUGGUACCAUAUCUCCUUCUGCAUCAUCAUCUUCUGUCAAUGCUGACAGUGGCAUCAAUCGUCAAUUUCAAAAUUCGACUAUUACCUUUGGAGCUGCUAGACAUUUACCAGGGCUUGCUUCUAAUAUUUGUGACGUCCAGGGUUCUUAUGGUGCUAAGUCAGGUGAAGUUCUUGAUCAAGGACCACUUAGGUACCUUGGAUUUGUUGGUAAAGGGACUUUCCUUCCUAGCCAGUUUUCAGUGGAUGAAUUUACAGCACCAAUUAGCAACUUGAGCCAAGGAAAAACUUAUGUAGAGAACAAUGGCAGUAAAGUGAAGCAGGAGCCAAAUAUGGAAUUCACAGAUGACGCAAGAGUGGGGGUCUCAGUAUUGCAGCAAUUUCCUCCAAAUGAUCUCAUGAGUGUUUUCACAGAAUAGGCCUUAUUUGUGUGGUUGGGGCAAUUUGUUAAUUUUCAUGGAAGCACAGAUUAUUUGGUAUCAGAAGGGAUUCAUGUCGAAGUCCAUCAUUUAUUAUCGGCUUUAUUUACAGUGCCUGCACUGUUCUCAGGCGAACUCUGGAGCCUCCUCAGUAUUUACAGCAUUGAAAAGAAAAAUUGUGCCUUUUGUGUAAUUUCCAUUGAAAGUGCUGGGGCGAAGCUCUACAUGCAUCAAGUAGUAUUUCCUUUUCGUUAGUCCGUAGGAAAAAUAAGUUGUGUUAGAUUCCAACAGCUUGAAAUGAAGUCCCACGUGAUGGCAUCUUGCUAUCUUAGUUGUGUAGUUAUUUGGGUACGAUGAUGGAAAUGCUAAUUCGUUUAUAUUAUGCAAUUCGUUCAGGAAGUGCGGUUCUUUGUACUCUCUUGUUAGAUUAUAAUAAUUUCACCUCGCAUCUUUAGGAUUUUGAAACUCCUUUUACUGCUCAUGUCGCAAGCUAUCAGUUCUAUGCCAAA
rnacentral:misc_RNA from 1 species